GGCUCGUUGGUCUAGGGGUAUGAUUCUCGCUUAGGGUGCGAGAGGUCCUGGGUUCGAAUCCCGGACGAGCCC
rnacentral:tRNA from 1 species